AGCUCAGAGGUAGAGUGCCUGUCUAGCAUGCAUGAAGCCCUGGGUUCUAUUCCCAG
rnacentral:tRNA from 1 species